GUUUCGGUUGCAUUUUGUUUUGAGUUCGCGAUAAAAGCAGUAUUCAAUAAAAGAAGUUGUCUUUUCUAAUAAGGAAUAUAUAAAAGAUUAUUGUUGUAAAAAAUAAAUAAAUAUUUAUGCCUUUUGUUCUCUAAUAAUAAAAUUUUAAACUUAAAGGCAUAAAAAGUGUUUGUUAAUUUUUAUUUUUAUAUAUAUUUUUUUGAAUAAAAAAACGAAAGAUUUUUUUAUAUUAUAAAUAAAAUUUUAAAGAGUGUUUUUUGAAUGUCUAAUCAAAAAAAAUUUAAUUAUAUGCCAAUUGCAAUGAAUAAAGAAAAUAGUGAUAGUGGGCAUUCAUCCCGAACGUCUUCAAUAGGAAAUGAUGCUACUAGAAAUAUACCAAAUUCAUAUUCAUCACAAGCCCUAAUGAAUAACAUUGAUUCAGAUAGUGUAAUAACAACCGGAACUAAUCCUGUUAGGGGUAAUACAACCACAUUAACAAGUUCAUCAAAUUCAAAACAAUGGUUUACAGUUGGAGUAUUAUGUUUUGUCAAUUUAAUUAACUAUAUGGAUCGUUUUACAAUAGCAGGUGUUCUAAGUGAUAUACAAGAAGAGUUUAAAAAAGGAGAUGACUGGGGUGGAUUAUUACAAACAGUUUUUGUUUUAUCAUAUAUGAUAUUUGCACCAUUAUUCGGUUAUUUAGGUGAUCGUCAUUCAAGGCGUAUAAUAAUGCUUAUAGGUGUAUUUUUAUGGAGUACAACAACUUUAUUAGGUUCAUUUAUGUAUAAUCAGUCAUGGUUUAUGACAUUUAGAGCAUUUGUUGGAAUUGGUGAAGCAUCAUAUAGUACAAUUGCACCAACAAUUAUAUCAGAUUUAUUUAUACAUGAUAUGAGAUCUAAAAUGUUAGCAUUAUUUUAUUUUGCUAUACCAGUUGGAUCAGGAAUGGGAUAUAUUGUCGGAUCGGAAACGGCAAAAGCCGCUGGCACAUGGAGAUGGGCAUUACGUGUAACGCCAAUUUUAGGUGCAAUUGCUGUUCUAUUAUUAUUUUUAAUAGAAGAACCAGAGAGAGGUAGUAGUGAAGGUGCCACAUCACAUACAUCAACGUCUUCAUAUCUAGAUGAUAUAAAAUAUUUAAUAAAAAAUCGUUCCUUUAUGUUAACAACAUGUGGCUUUACAUGUGUUGCUUUUGUUACCGGUGCAUUAGCAUGGUUCGGACCAAAAUUCAUUCAUUUAGGCCUAUUAACACAAACUGAAAAUAAAGAUGUCACAAUUAAUGAUGUUUCAUAUAAAUUUGGUAUCAUUGCAAUGUUUGCUGGUAUGAUAGGUGUACCUUUAGGUUCCUUUUUGGCUACACAUUUUCGACCAACUCAUGAAAAUAUUGAUCCAAAAAUAUGUUUCUACGGCUUAAUGAUAUCAUCUCCACUUGUUUAUUUUUCAUUGAUAACACCAAAAUCAGGUUUAGGAGCUUGUUUAUUUUUUGUAUUUCUUGCAAUGACUGCAUUAAAUUUAACGUGGUCGAUAGUAGCAGAUAUUAUUUUGUAUGUGGUGGUUCCAACACGAAGAUCAACAGCUGAAGCAUUUCAAAUUUUAAUUUCGCAUGCUUUUGGUGAUGCUGGAAGCCCUUAUUUAGUUGGAGUGAUAUCGGAAGCUAUAAAAAAAUAUCUAAGAAAAUCAGUGGCGGAUGCUCCCGAAACCUUAUCAGCGGGAUUGAAAAGUUUAGCAUUAACAGUUGGCCAAGUAAAUUCUACAAUAAGUGCGACGACUACUACGGCACUAUCUACUACAAUUGGUUCGAAAAGUUCAGAAAUGCCAGAUGAUUCAUUUAUUAUCCAAUUUCAAGCUUUACAAUAUGCCUUAUUUUCAACAAGUUUUAUUGAAGUUAUUGGCGGAAUUUUCUUUUUAAUAACGGCUGUGUAUAUUGUAAGAGAUAAAUUGCGUGCUGCACAAGAGACUAGGGUUAACGAAAACGAAAUGAGUGAAGAUUCAACGGUUUCUGUGUCCUCAAUCAUUGAUUUAAGCCUACAGCCUCGUGUUUAAAAUUUUCUAUUUUAAAAAUUUGGAUCCACAAAUUUUGUCUAUUUUAGAUAUUAUUUUCUUUAUCAAACCUGAUUAAGAUUUAUUUAAGAGUUAAAGGAUCUAAAAACUAUUAGUAAAAUACGUUUCUUAUAGAAAACGAAGUUAAUGCAAAUUCAAAUGAUAUUUCUACUGAAGCUAGUGAGGAAGAAUCAUAGUAUCGAUAAUAUUAAAAAAAAAACUUUAUUACAUAAAAUGCAUAUAUUUUAUACGCAUAUAUAUAUGUAUGUACACAUAAUUUUAUCGUUACUAUUAGCACGUUAUGUAAAAAAAAAAUGAAUGACAAUUUUUAAGUUAAACCUUAAUUAUUAUUAUAAAUAAGAAUUUUUAUGUAUAAACAUUUUUGUAUGCUAUGCAUGAUUGUUUCCUAUUUAAUUUAAUAUUCUCAAUAAUAUUAUAUAUGUAUUAAAAUUUUUUAAUAAGUAUAAAAUAAUAAUUAUAGGAAUAGAAUCUCCUGCAUAAUAUAAUAAUUUUUUUUUAUUAUUUACUUGGAGAUCAGAACUGAAGUUAAAUUAUAUAUAUUUAUAUAUAAAUAUAUUAAUUGCUCAUAAUGAACUUUUUAAAAUAUUAAAAAUAUUGAGCUUAAUUGAAAUUUUCUGAAAAUAAUUACAAUCAAGGUAUGAAAUUAAAAAGCAUUUUGUUUUAAUUUUCAACAAAUAACUAGGGAACAUAAAAAUUAUUUUGCAAACACACUUUGUUUUUUGUUUUAAUUUCAAUUUGAAAAAUUUUCUGAGUCGAGAUCCCGAAAUUUUAUUCAUAUUCAAUUUAAUAAAAUCAUUUCAUAUUGAUUUUUUAAUUAAUUACUAAAAAAUUUCUAAAUUUAAUAUUAAAGCUCAAAUUUUAAAGACUGUUUUGCAAAAUAUUUUUUAUCAUUGUUUAAAUAAAUUUUAAUUGUAUGUGCAAUGUAUUGUAAUUUCAAAGUUUAUUUAAUAAAUACAGUGAUUAUUUAAUUUGUUAAAAUUUCGAUAAUUUUGUAAUGUAUUAGAGAAAAUAACCUAUGUCCAUCCAAUUAAUUAUGCCCAUAUAAAUAA